CAUCGCAAGGUGAAAUCUGAAGGAAGCUGGCGGCAAACAUCUGACCUGACGAACAGGAACUUCAUAUAAGGCAUUUAACCAUGGAUAAGAUUGCAAAGCAAAUCAAAGUCCCAUAGCUAUUCGGAAUGGUUGGUGUAAAUGAAGUGGGUAUAAGAUGAAA
rnacentral:ncRNA from 1 species